rnacentral:antisense_RNA from 1 species
CGUUAUGGCGGUUGUGCGCGGGAGAUCUUCGGAUCUGCCGGGUUGUCUGGGACCGGUCUUGCACACCCGCGCACAAUUGCCACCCUC